GACGAACCGUGCGAACGUUAUUCGGAAUCACUGGGCUUAAAGCGCGUGUAGGCGGAAGGGCACGUCUGGUGCUGAAAUCCCCCGGCUCAACCGGGGAACGGGCACGGAUACGACUCUUCUGGAGGAACGUAGGGGGACCUGGAACUUCCGGUGGAGCGGUGAAAUGCGUUGAGAUCGGAAGGAACGCCCGUGGCGAAAGCGAGCUGCUGGACCUCUUCUGACGCUGAGGCGCGAAAGCCAGGGGAGCAAACGGG
rnacentral:rRNA from 1 species